AAAACGACUCUCGGCAACGGAUAUCUAGGCUCUCGCAUCGAUGAAGAACGUAGCGAAAUGCGAUACUUGGUGUGAAUUGCAGAAUCCCGCGAAUCAUCGAGUUUUUGAAUGCAAGUUGCGCCCGAAGCCAUUCGGCCGAGGGCACGUCUGCCUGGGUGUCACGC
rnacentral:rRNA from 1 species